UUUUUCCUGUAUAUUAAUCAAUUUAAUUAGUUCUAUGAAAAUUUUGUAACGCUCUUGCGUUACGUGCGGGAUAGACUUAGUCGGUGUGGUCCAAGGUUUAGCUCAAUAAAUUAGAAGCAGUGGCGUAAGUAAUAAGAAGUGUAAAAUAUAUUCUUAAGUAAACGCUAUUUACAAUUAUUUACAGAUAGCGCGACGCCGUUGAUGCGUGGUCGCGGUUUUGCUCACGUCGUAAGUCUUAGUUGUCGUCGCGAUGACAGCUGCGAGCGUCCAGACUCGCCCGCGGGUCGCGGGACGCGGUCGGCGUUGUCUCGCGAUCUUCUAUUGCCCGCGUUGUGAGUUUGUAUGCGGUGAUACGUUUAACGUUGAUUACGUGUUCUCGAGAGCGCUCCAAUAUGUUGGCGAUUUCGGGCGCGUGGUCGGUGUUUUCGCGGUGGAAAUAAGCGGUGCUAGCUAGAGGAUGUCGACGUCGCGUAUCCAACUCGGUCGACGGAGUGUCUAGGAAGCGAUGACGUUGAUGAUGACGCUGGCUGGACCUUCCACGCCCUCCUUAUCGAGUGGCUUGAUGAGCGUCAAAUUUUUCGAAUACGGCGAGAUUGCGACGGGGACAUCCUUAUCGUUCACCUCCAAGCUCAGCGCGAUGUCACCCUGCACGCUAGGAUCACCGAGUACUCCAAGGACUCCGACGAUGUCGCCAACGGGUAGAUCCUCGCUGACGAAGAGAUGCGCCGCGGUGGCUCCAGUGUCUAGGAAGCAUCGCUUGUCUCGAAUUACUGCAAAAAACAUUUAAUUCUUACAUCUCGAUUGAUAUAUUUGCGAGUUUAUAUUUCUUGAAUGUCUCGUUGAAAUUAAUCACUAAUUAAUUCAUCGAGUUAUUCAUUUCUUUUCUUUAAAACUAAAGAUUGAUCGUUCAUGAGUGGCACAUGGUAAACGUAGUAUGAAACAUUCAAUGACGCGAGAACGCACGCUUUGUGCUUUUAAGUCCAAAGCGAUAUGCAGAGAAGAUAGCUCCUUCCUUUAUCUCAAUUCAUAACAGUAGAUAAUGACUAUUUUAUACGUACGAACUUAGAUAAUGCUUGCGGUUAGUACCCACUUAUUCGUAAUACACGCCGUCCAGUUAUUAAUUGCGGGUGUUUUAAUGACUUCAAACGAUCCCACAUAAAUACGCGCAUUCCAGAAGCGCUGCGUCGUAACGCAAUUAGAUUUACCGUAAGCUUAACGUAACUUCGUAACCUAGAGCGUGGCGGUAAAAUGCGCGCGAAACGCGAGAACGUUUCUACGAAUUAUCGGUAAGGCAACCAAGUAAAUUCGUCUUCGCGCGUGAAACAUUAUAACGUGUCUGUCUCGCAGAGACAGAAUUGGAAAUAGAAUGAGGAUUCAGCUGUGUUCCAAGGUUUUACUUCCUGCGAAACGUUAAACAAAAGCCUGUCGGACGGUCACGUCAUUUCGGUGAUUGCUCGUUAUUUCCGGUUGAUCGAUGGGAAUUCGGAUUCUAGAAGGACGCGUAUCGGACGCGUACGAGAAUACGCGUGGGCUGUUUAACGCGUAUGCGAGAGGGUAGAUAUACGCGCUUCCCUGGAGCGGAGUUCCGGUCGCGGAACUCGAAUGGCGUAUCGUCGGCGCAACGUUACCGUCUUUCGCAAACCUCUUUUCUAGCAUAGACGAACACCUCGCUGGUAAAAGCACGUCGUUCGAUCGUGCGCGAAAACAUCGUGCACGAACACUCGCGACGAAGGGGAGCACGUGGCGAGGAAGAUGCAUAUUGCGGCAUAGGCGGACUUACGUUGGCCGACGUGCGGCUGCAGCAUGCAACAGAGGAGCGGCAAGAUCCUCAACACGUUUCGCCCCAUGGCAAUUCAAGAUCAUCGUCCAUUGAUUCCGUCGCCCGAUGCAUCUGCAAGAGAAGAAUAGAGAAUCAGUAAACAAGCAAGAUAAAAGCAAUGAAUGCCGAAGGCGCGAGGCGUCACGUUUGCGCAAUCGAGUUUCCUUUAAUCCGCCGGCGGGUCGUGGGAACGACGUUUCCCAGAAGAUACUUCGAUCUAUCCGCGGUAAUAGCGUUU